rnacentral:lncRNA from 1 species
GUCACCUUGAGCAACAGCAGUGAGACCUGCGGCAGCCUAAGCCCAGCACGGGUAAUGACCACACUAGCAAGCACUUCCUCCUAUGCCAGCUCACGGGGCUGGCAUCCUGGGCAGCUGCCAGGCACCUGCUGCUGACAAGAAAAGACCCAGUAUCCCAGCCUUUGUGGAGAGACGGGCCGGCUUGGAUUCCUGAGAAACGUGUGAGGUCCCAGGAGAAGCCCUUGCCAGGAUGUGGGCUGACUGGCCAGUGUACCUCCUAAGUGGUACCCAGAAGAGGCUCUCCUGGGAAGGGGCUCUGAGAGCUGAGCAGUGAUACGGUGUGCAGCAACGUGUUAUGGUCGCAGAGCUGCUUCUGCCUGGUGCCCAGCUUGACAUCAUACACUGCCCCCGUCGCCUCACUGGUCUUCCCCUGUCGCCUGCAAGCUGACAGCAGGCACUGGCUGGUCUUGAACUUGCAGAGAGAUACCUUGCCCGGAAACAAAUAAGAACUUACAUGAAAUGGGCGCAUGUACAAUACCGGCUGCCGUGUAGGACGGACUGUGUACCGCCAGGCUCUCCCUUUUUGUCUCCACCACUGCUUUUUUUAAACAAUCACACUGAAGGCCUGUUUGUUCAAUCUGCAGCACAAAGCUGAAAGGCACAGCUAGCCUGGCAGUGUCGGCGAGAUGAAACUGGACUACCAUAAACGUGAACUCCUUUGAGGUGGGUAGAGAUUGUACCAAGGAGCUGAACAGUUGGCGUAUAUAAAACUCCCUCUUGUGAUCCACGCGCUGACAUGUGGGUGUGUGGUGAGCUGCUGAUUUGACGGCGGGUCAGUUGAAAGACCUGGAGCAGCUUGUUGGAGUGGGUUCCACUCGUACCACAGUAUACGGUGAGAAAACUGGACUAUGCUUCAGGGACCAGCCACUUCCUGGACUCAACGCGGCACAUCCUGACUGCUUUACUGGGAAGAGCCCUGUACAAGCGUGUAAAGUCCGCUGCUCCCACGUCUUUGUGAGCUUCCUGCCCUGAAAGGACCUCAGGCAAAAGCUAGUAUCAGCCAGGAAGGCGAGGGUGUCAGGGAACAGCCUGAAGCCCCGCCGGGGCUCAUCACAAUCAGUGUUCUUUUUAAAUGACAUAUUCCGGGGCUGGCGAGGCUGCUCAGUGGGUGCACAAGUAUCAAGACCCAAGAGCCAAUUCCUCAGCACACGGAAGACCAGAUGUGGCAACACAUCUGUACACAGCAUGCCUAAGGCAAAAUACAAAGCAGAACCUCCAGAAACUUUCAAGCCGCCCAGUGCUUAGCCUGGUAAAAUCAACAAGAGACUGCCUCAAGCGAAGCAGAAGGCAAGGGCUGACACCCGAGGUCAGCCUCUGAUCUACACAACUCACAGGGUGGCAUGCACGUCCUCACAGCUAUACACAGGUGCAUGCAUACGCACCCAUGCACUGACACACAUGCAUACAUACACGCACACACACACACACAUACACACACGAGGACUGGAGAGAUGACUCAGUGGUUAAGAGCACUGGCUGCUGUCACAAAGAAUCUAAGUUCAGUUCCCAGCACCCACAUGGCCGCUCACAAUAUAGCUCCAGUCCCAGGAGACCUGUCCCUCCUAACCUCCUUGGGCACUAGGGAUGUACAUGGUACACAGACACACAGAAGCAAAACAACCACACACUUAAAAUAAUUUGUUAAAAUGUCGACCCCGGCCUCAUGACAGACCUCCAGAACCAAAACCUCAAGGAGUAGGUAAGGGAUAUAUAUUUUUUUUAAGUCAAAUAGAUGAUACACUGCUCCGGAUCAGGGGUUGCCAACCUUCCCAGUGCUGAGACCGUUCACACAGUACCUCGUGGUGUGGUGACCUCGGCCAUGAAAUUGUUUCGCUGCUACUUCAUGACUGUAACAUUGCUGUUAUGUGUCAUCCUGUCAAUUUCUGUGUUUUCUGAUGAUCUUAGGCUACCCCUGUGAAAGGGUCUUCCAAAUUUUCUUUUUCCAAACAGGAUCUCGGUACACAGUCCGGCUUAUAUGGCCCAUUUGCCUCUGCUUCCCAAGUGCUGGGAUUAUAGACUUGUACCAAACCUGGAAGAAAUUUUGGUAAUUUUUCUUUUUAGAUUUGAUAGCAUAUUUUGGAAACAUGGAAGAAUGUCCUUAUUCAUAGGCUGCAUUAAGUUCAAGCAUGAAAAGUGACCUGUCAGCUGGAUGUGGUGGCGCAUGCCUUUAAUCCCAGCACUUGGGAGGCAGAGGCAGGCAGAUUUCUGAGUUCGAGGCCGGCCUGGUCUACAGAGUUCUAGGACAGUCAGGGAUACACAGAAAAACCCUGCCUUAAAAAAAAAAAAAAAAAAAA